AGUUCUGUCAAUAACACCAAGGCGGUAAAGGGUGAAUGUUUAAACGAAUCACUUGUAAAAUCAUAAAAUUUUCAGUGUUGUCGUUUAUUAUUCUGCUUUUAAAUCGUAACCCUAGGGAUAUAUUUCCGACAACACGUGAAAGCAUCACGCAGAGGUGCAUUUGUUAGUUGUAGCCUGCCACAAGCUAAUGUUCAGUAUGUCUGAGAAAGAGCUGGGGAAAAAGUGGGACCGAUGCUUAGCAGACGGUGCCAUUAAAUUAGGCACCGGUCUGGGGUUAGGCAUUGUGUUUUCUGUUCUGUUCUUCAAACGGCACACAUGGCCAAUUUCACUUGGCUCGGGAGCAGGGCUCGGCAUGGCGUA